rnacentral:pre_miRNA from 1 species
GUUGUACUCCCUCCGUCCAACAAAAGAUGUCUCAAGUUUGUCAAAAAUUGGAUGUAUCUAGACAUGACUUAGUGUAUAGAUGCAUUCAAAUUUAGUCAAAGUUGAGACAUCCUUUGUUGGACGGAGGAAGUAUGUU